UGUUGCCCUGUGUCUGAGCCACUCCAGCCAUGGCUGAAAGGGGCCAACUUACAGCUCGGGCUGUGGCUUCAGAGUGUGGAAGCCUGAAGCCUUGGCAGCUCCCAUGUGGUGUUGAGCCUGCAGGUGCACAAAAGUCAGUAAUUGAGGUUUGGGAACCUCCGCCUAGAUUUCAGAAGAUGUAUGGAAAUGCCUGAAUGCCCAGGCAAAAGUUUGCUGCAGGGCCAGGGCCCUCAUGGAAUACCUCCUCUAGGGCAGUUCAGAAAGGAGAUGUGGGAUUGGAGCCCCCACAUAGAGGACCCACUGGGCCAAUGCCUAGUGGAGCUGUAAGAAGAGGGCCACCAUUCUCUAGACCCCAGAAUGGUAGAUCCAUCAACAGCUUGCACCAUGCACCUGGAAAAGCUGCAGCCACUCAAUGCCAGCCUGUGAAAGUAGCUGGGGGUGUAGCUGUACCCUGCAAAGCCACAGGGAUAGUGCUGCCCAAGACCAUGGAUACCCACCUCUUGCAUGAGUGUGACCUGGAUGUGAGACCUGGAGUGAAAGGAGAUCAUUUUGGAGCUUUAAAAUUUGACUGCCCUGCUGGAUUUCAGACUUGCAUAGGCCCUUAACCCCUUUGUUUUGGCUAAUUUCUCCAAUUUGGAAAGGCUGUAUUUACCCAAUACCUGUACCCCUAUUGUAUCUAGGAAGUACCUAGCUUGCUUUUGAUUUUACAGGCUCAUAGGUGGAAGGGACUAGCCUUGUCUCAGAUGAGAUUUUGGGCUGUUGACUUUUGGUCAUGUAUAAUUUGUCUAUAUUAUAUACAUAUAUAUGGUCUACAAAAGUUCUGGUUUGGUUUGCAAUUUUAAGUUUCACUUUUGUUCUUAGAGUGUCACAACAAUAUCUUUCAGUCUUUCUACUAAAUUUCAUUUCUCUGCUCAUAUAUUUAAUUUAAAAAAUUCUUUUGUUCUCUAAGUAUUUAUGUAGUAUUGAAAUAAAAAAAUCACUUGAAUUUGCUUUUUGUCUAACAUUAUUUCCAUAGUCUAAAAUAAACAGCAAAUAAUACACCAUUAGCAAAAAACAUAAAGCAAGAAUUGCUCAUUAAAAUGAAAACCCCAAAAUCAUAAAUCUGAUGAUGGCCAACUAGAUGCAGCCAGGAGGAACAUCUGCCAUUCAGGGACUGGGACACUGGGAAGAGUGGUACACUCUGAGCCGAUCUCUGGAGGGAAGGCAUUGCAGUAAAGGAUUCCAGGGAGUAUGCUAAGCCAAUUAUAGGUUCAAUUCAUUUUAUCUGUCUUUCUCAUGGAUCACUCACCUGUGCUAUUUUAUACUUCAAUGUCUGAAAACCCUUGUUUUACAUGUUUUAUCUUUGGUGAUUUUUUGGUUUGUUCUGUUUUUUCUUUUGUUUGUUUGUUUUGGUAGUAGGGGAAAUAUACUCUCUUAAAUUCACCUAUUCUGGAAGCAGACAUUUCUCAGAUUAUAUUUAUAUCAUUUGUUUCUAUAACAUGUGACACAAAUUACAAAUGCCCAUGUCAUCUCCCAUCCCAGAACUAGCUACACAGCAUGUGAAACUGAGCAAGUUUCAUAGAAUUAAGGAGGUAAUACAGCCAAUUUUGAUUGUUUUAAAACAACAUGAGUACUAUGAAACAGAGGAAUAGCACUGGCUUAGGAGUCUUAAAAAAUGUGUUUAGGCAUUAUAUUUUCAACUUUUACCCAAGGUAAUCCUAGAUAUAAUUAUUAAUUUUUUAAUUUUUAUUUUCUCAUUUGCAAAAUGAUAAUGGUUAUAAUUCUUACAUAACACAUUAGUACAAAAUUCAACAAACAAUAUAAGUCUACCAUCUUCUUCUUACCAAAAAUAUUUUUCUUGGAUAUUUGUCUUGCUGAGAAUGCUGUGUUAUGCAAUUU
rnacentral:lncRNA from 1 species